CCCUUUGCAUAAGAGGACCCGUAGAAAGUAAUGAUAUUCAAAAUAAGAUUAGCAUGGUCCCUGCGCAAGGAUGACAUGCAAAUUUGUGAAGCAUUCCAUAUUUUU